GAAAUACAGAGGUGGCAGUGGUGGGUGGUGGGCCAGAUUUGACGGGCAGGCGGACGUCCGUUCGUCGUCGGCGAGGUGAGCCGCGGAUCGGCAUCGGCGUACGCGUCUGAUCCGUGGCCCGGGAAGUUCGCUUGUCUUCUCCGCGGACUGCGGAGUAGAGAGAAGGACCGCCGACGGAGGCGAAGGUCACCUUCACCUCGCCGGCCCUCCCGCCCCUUUCCGCCGCCGCUCGUUCACCUUCUCCCAUGGCCGCCACGGCCCUUCUCUGCCCGUCCUAUCCCCUCCUCCCAUGGCGGCCAUGGCCCUCCUCUGCUGCCCAAUCUAGCCCUCCGCCGCCGCUCUUCCCCCUCCUCCUCUUCCCCUGCUCCACCGUCCCAUCCCUUCCUCCCAUGCUAUUGGAUCCCCUCCUUCUCUGCCACCAGAUCGCCAUCUCCUUUGCCCGUCUCCAUCUCCUCUGUUGCCAGUUCCUCUAACCAUACUUCUAUUUUGUAUAGUUGUAUUGAAUAUAAUUCUAAAAUUUACAUGAUUUGUCUCAUGGAUGAUUUAUGGUUAGCAUAUUUGCCUGAACAUACCAGAUUUGACAUGAUGCCUUUUUUCUUGCUUAUACGUCAUCCAUCUCUAGAACAUUUGAUAUUUUUAAUUGCAAUAUAAUCACUCAAUUAUUGUCACAUAUUAUACAAAUUUUGUUUUCUUGCAUGUUGACCAAAGUAUUAUCUUCAUAAUCAUGUUAUUAUGAAAAAUUAUUUUCGGAUGAAUUACUUUUGCAAUCAUUAAUCCAGGGAUUUGCAGUCAGUAAGCAGAAUCAUGCUUACUGAAUCUAGGCAGUUCAUCCAAGAAAAUGUUGCUUACCGAAUUCAGGCAGUUCAUAUGUGAAUUGGCUGCGUUUGCAGGCUGAGGAUAGAUGCUGCUGCACCGAGCAGAACACGCUGCCCAAAUUGCAUCAGUGUGUUUGAGAAGGCUCUUAAGAGUUAUGCUGACAACCCAGCUGAGAAUGUGAUCACACCAGUUCUUGGCACUACUUUCGGCUUUUUGGACGAGGCGUACGACUUCUACAAUUUGUAAUCGGUGGUCCUGUCUGAUCCGUGGAUCAGGAAGUUCGCUUUCCGUGCACUGGUUGAAGAACCGAAUUGAAUGCAGGACCGAGUCUUCUCGCCCAGGGCGUAGGUCAUUUGGAAGCUGAGACACUUCGGGAUAGAGGCAAGGAGCACCGGCGGCGAGGCACCAUGGAGUUUCUGAUGCAGCUGAUCGACAGAUCUGCUCUGCUUGAGGAAGUAGGUAAGAGUUCGGUGCCGGCCCCUGUGGCUGUGAAUGGCCCUGCGGUGGCGGUUUUGGAGGUGGCGCAGCAGGGUGGAGGGCAAGGUGGCGCAGCAUCGGACGGUGGGCAGCGACGAAGUACAAAUCUUCUCGGCGAAGGAGGCGGCGGCUGAAGAAGGGAGAGCUCGCCUCCGACUUCGGAGCUAUCAACGGGGAAGUUGAAUCCCUAAGCAUCGGGGUGUAACAAGAGGCUUAGGAUUGGUGCUGCCGCACCAAGCAGAACACCGUGCCCAAAUCGAAAAUCAGUGCGUUCGAGAAGGCAGCCAGGUGUUGUGUAGAGAACCCAGCUGAAUACAUGAUCACACCAGUUUUUGGUACUACUUUUGACUCUCUGGGCGAAGCAUACGAGGUGAUUUCUACGAGGGGGAACCGAGGGGGUGCCAUGGCACCCAUGGAACCCCUAUUGGAUCCGCCCCUGCCAGAAGCAUCUGUCAUAUAAGUAGUUGUGUUCGGACCAGCAUGUGGAUAUGUUAAGUUUGGAUGUAUGAUUAUGUGUGAAAAUGAGUAUGGAACCUGAAGCUACAGGUGUUAAAUGCCUGACUGCGAUUUGCUUGCAGUUGAUGUUCAUAUUUGUUAUGAUUCAGCUUUGGGCAGUUGUGUGUGGCCUUUACAUGAGACCAAAAAAUCAGUAAAAGAGUUGGAGUUUGAAAAA